rnacentral:rRNA from 1 species
UUAACGGCGUCGAGCGGCGGACGGGUGAGUAAUGCCUGGGAAAUUGCCCUGAUGUGGGGGAUAACCAUUGGAAACGAUGGCUAAUACCGCAUAAUAGCUUCGGCUCAAAGAGGGGGACCUUCGGGCCUCUCGCGUCAGGAUAUGCCCAGGUGGGAUUAGCUAGUUGGUGAGGUAAUGGCUCACCAAGGCGACGAUCCCUAGCUGGUCUGAGAGGAUGAUCAGCCACACUGGAACUGAGACACGGUCCAGACUCCUACGGGAGGCAGCAGUGGGGAAUAUUGCACAAUGGGCGCAAGCCUGAUGCAGCCAUGCCGCGUGUAUGAAGAAGGCCUUCGGGUUGUAAAGUACUUUCAGCAGUGAGGAAGGCGGAGUCGUUAAUAGCGGCCUCGUUUGACGUUAGCUGCAGAAGAAGCACCGGCUAACUCCGUGCCAGCAGCCGCGGUAAUACGGAGGGUGCGAGCGUUAAUCGGAAUUACUGGGCGUAAAGCGCAUGCAGGUGGUUUGUUAAGUCAGAUGUGAAAGCCCGGGGCUCAACCUCGGAAUUGCAUUUGAAACUGGCAAACUAGAGUACUGUAGAGGGGGGUAGAAUUUCAGGUGUAGCGGUGAAAUGCGUAGAGAUCUGAAGGAAUACCGGUGGCGAAGGCGGCCCCCUGGACAGAUACUGACACUCAGAUGCGAAAGCGUGGGGAGCAAACAGGAUUAGAUACCCUGGUAGUCCACGCCGUAAACGAUGUCUACUUGGAGGUUGUGGCCUUGAGCCGUGGCUUUCGGAGCUAACGCGUUAAGUAGACCGCCUGGGGAGUACGGUCGCAAGAUUAAAACUCAAAUGAAUUGACGGGGGCCCGCACAAGCGGUGGAGCAUGUGGUUUAAUUCGAUGCAACGCGAAGAACCUUACCUACUCUUGACAUCCAGAGAAUCCUACGGAGACGUGGGAGUGCCUUCGGGAACUCUGAGACAGGUGCUGCAUGGCUGUCGUCAGCUCGUGUUGUGAAAUGUUGGGUUAAGUCCCGCAACGAGCGCAACCCUUAUCCUUGUUUGCCAGCACUUCGG